GCAACGGGGGAGCAAGGACAGAAGAAAGAGGUGCAGAAGGAGGAAGAGGAACAAGCAGGAAGGCGCCAGCGGAGGAGACGUGAAAAGAAGCAGGAGGAGACCGGCUCUCCAGGAGCUUAGCAGAAGAAACGGGCAGGCUGUGCUUCCACCGGGCGGACGGCUUCAUUUCGCUCCCUCUCUCGGCCACUGAUCACUCUGCGUGGGGCUGCAGCUGGCCUUGCAGCGUGGCAUUCCUGGUGCUGGACUUCAUGUCUUUGCACUCAGGAGCCCUGACAGGGGUGGGAGUGCGGCCUUCUCAGGCCGCCCUGAAUCUCUCUGCACCGAGUCCCUUGCCAUUGGGUGGGAGGUGGCUUGCUCCUGCUGGACCUGAAGUAUGUGCGCUGAGCCGCCCCUGGAUGGGACUGGGGGUAUUGCUUUUUCGCGCCACUGCUUUCUGUAUGUGCGCUGAGCUGCCCCUGGGUAGGCUGGCCUGGGGGUGUUGCUUCCUCGCGCCGAGCCUUAGAGGUAUGUGCGCUGAGCCGCCCCUGGUCGGGGCUGGGGGCGUUAGCUUUCUCACGCCGAGCUUGAUGCCAUGUGCGCUGAGCCUGCCCCUGGCUGGGCUCAGCUUGGGGGUGUUGCUUCCUCUCGCGCCGAGCCUUCGGGUAUGUGCGCUGAGCCGCCCCGGGCUGGGGCUGGGAGCGUUGCUUUGUGCUGCCAGGCCUUAUGUCUCUGCACUGAGCCGCCCCAGUGAGGGCUGGGGGCGUUGCUUCCUCUCGCCACGAGCUUCACGUCUUUGCUCUGAGAAGCCCCUCAUUUGGCCAGGGGGUGGCUCUCUCCAAGCCUUGCUGCCUGACUUUGCCCUUCAUGCUCCCAGUGGUGUUGAGCUGGCCACUCCGGCCUGCCCACGGAGCAAGCUCGGGACGGUAGAAGUGUGGCCUCCCAGACCUCUUCCAGCAGCAGCAGCAGCCUCUGCUGGCUGAAGGCACACGCCUGACGCUUGGUGUGCUCACGCUCCUCCUUGGCUUGGGCUCUUGCGUGAGCAGGGCUGCUCCUCAAGAAGGCCUUCUGAAGAGGGAAAAGAGUCAAGAGCUGCGAGAAGCUGAUCUCUUGCCUUGGGAGGCAAAGGAGAGAAAGGGCAGAAGAAAGAAGUGCCGCAGGCUGGCGAAAGAGAAGCCGCAAGGAGCAACAGGAGGAGACCUGGACGGGGAAGAAGGAGGCGGAGAAGACUGGCUCUCAAGCAGCUUCACAGAAGGAAGAAGGGGGAGCUUCCGCUCCCACCAGCUGGAGGGCCUCAUUGCUGCCCUUCUCUCUGCUCCGUCUCCCUGAGUAGCCACUGGUUUGGGAGGGGCGUGGACAGAACAGGAUGGACUCGGUGUCCAUCCGCUCAGUGGCCCUUUCUUGAACUGGGCUGCGGCUUUCUCGUGCUGGACUUCAUGUCUCUGCACUUGGGGAGCCCUACAAAUAGUGAGAGGGUGGCCCUCAUAGGGGCCAUCCAAGGGGCAGCCCCUAUUUCAGCUGAGCUGUGGCUUUCUCGGGCUGGACUUUAUGUCUUUGCACUGGGGAGCCCUACGACUGUGGGAAGUGUCUGUAUACUGGAGAACUCCUGAUUUGUCUGGGGGCGUGUUUCUCGUGCUGGACUUCACGUCUCUGCACUGGGGAGCCCUACAAAUAGUGAGAGCGUGGCCCUCGUAGGGGCCGUACACGGAGCAGCCCCCAUUUCGGCUGAGGUGUGGCUUUCUCGUGCUGGACUUCACGUCUUUGCACUGCGGAGCCCUACAAUUGUGGGAGCGUGGCCUCUUUUUGAUUAUUAUUAUUUUGACAUUUCUAGCCCGCUCUUCUUCCCAGGAGCCCAAAGCGGUGUACUGCAUACUUGUUUCCCCCCCGUCCCACAACAACCCUGUGAGUAGGUUAGGCUGAGAGAGAAGCGACUGGCCCAGAGUCACCCAGCUAGUAGCAUGGCUGAAUGGGGAUUUGGACUCGAGUCUCCCCGGUCCUAGUAAACUAGGGAACCCCUGAUUUGGCUGUGGUGCCGGUUUCACGUGCUGGACUUCACGUCUUUGCACUGGGGAGCCCUACAAUGGUAAGAGUAUGGCCAUCGUAGUGGCUGUAUACUGGGGACCCCCGAUUUGGCCGGGGAGCGGCUUUCUCAUGCUGGACUUCACGUCCUGGCCCUGGGGAGCCCCGAAAGCGGUGGGAGUAUGUCCUCCCCAGACGAGCCUGAGUGUCUGUAUGCUGCGUGGCUGCUCAUUUAUCCGCAGGGUGCCGUUCCUCGCUGCGUGACUUCGCCCUUCAUCUUGCGAGUGGUGAUGAGUUGGCAUCUCCCAACUGCCCCGUCCCUAGUCUUCAGCUUGGCGCGCCCUGCCCACGGAGAAAGCCAGGGACGGUGGAAGUGCGGCAUCCAUGACCUCUUCAAGCAGCGUGGUGUGCCGAGGAGCGGGCCCUGCUGGCUGGCUGAAGAAGGCACACGAAGGCAACGGGGGAGCAAGGACAGAAGAAAGAGGUGCAGAAGGAGGAAGAGGAACAAGCAGGAAGGCGCCAGCGGAGGAGACGUGAAAAGAAGCAGGAGGAGACCGGCUCUCCAGGAGCUUAGCAGAAGAAACGGGCAGGCUGUGCUUCCACCGGGCGGACGGCUUCAUUUCGCUCCCUCUCUCGGCCACUGAUCACUCUGCGUGGGGCUGCAGCUGGCCCUGCAGCGUGGCAUUCCUGGUGCUGGACUUCAUGUCUUUGCACUCAGGAGCCCUGACAGGGGUGGGAGUGCGGCCUCCUCAGGCCGCCCUGAAUCUCUCUGCACCGAGUCCCUUGCCAUUGGGUGGGAGGUGGCUUGCUCCUGCUGGACCUGAAGUAUGUGUGCUGAGCCGUCCCUGGAUGGGACUGGGGGUAUUGCUUUUUCGCGCCACUGCUUUCUGUAUGUGCGCUGAGCUGCCCCUGGGUAGGCUGGCCUGGGGGUGUUGCUUCCUCGCGCUGAGCCUUAGAGGUAUGUGCGCUGAGCCGCCCCUGGUCGGGGCUGGGGGCGUUAGCUUUCUCACGCCGAGCUUGAUGCCAUGUGCGCUGAGCCUGCCCCUGGCUGGGCUCAGCUUGGGGGUGUUGCUUCCUCUCGCGCCGAGCCUUCGGGUAUGUGCGCUGAGCCGCCCCGGGCUGGGGCUGGGAGCGUUGCUUUGUGCUGCCAGGCCUUAUGUCUCUGCACUGAGCCGCCCCAGUGAGGGCUGGGGGCGUUGCUUCCUCUCGCCACGAGCUUCACGUCUUUGCUCUGAGAAGCCCCUCAUUUGGCCAGGGGGUGGCUCUCUCCAAGCCUUGCUGCCUGACUUUGCCCUUCAUGCUCCCAGUGGUGUUGAGCUGGCCACUCCGGCCUGCCCACGGAGCAAGCUCGGGACGGUAGAAGUGUGGCCUCCCGGACCUCUUCCAGCAGCAGCAGCCGCCUCUGCUGGCUGAAGGCACACGCCUGACGCUUGGUGUGCUCACGCUCCUCCUUGGCUUGGGCUCUUGCGUGAGCAGGGCUGCUCCUCAAGAAGGCCUUCUGAAGAGGGAAAAGAGUCAAGAGCUGCGAGAAGCUGAUCUCUUGCCAUGGGAGGCAAAGGAGAGAAAGGGCAGAAGAAAGAAGUGCCGCAGGCUGGCGAAAGAGAAGCCGCAAGGAGCAACAGGAGGAGACCUGGACGGGGAAGAAGGAGGCGGAGAAGACUGGCUCUCAAGCAGCUUCACAGAAGGAAGAAGGGGGAGAUUCCGCUCCCACCAGCUGGAGGGCCUCAUUGCUGCCCUUCUCUCUGCUCUGUCUCCCUGAGUAGCCACUGGUUUGGGAGGGGCGUGGACAGAACAGGAUGGACUCGGUGUCCAUCCGCUCAGUGGCCCUUUCUUGAACUGGGCUGCGGCUUUCUCGUGCUGGACUUCAUGUCUCUGCACUUGGGGAGCCCCACAAAUAGUGAGAGGGUGGCCCUCAUAGGGGCCAUCCAAGGGGCAGCCCCUAUUUCAGCUGAGCUGUGGCUUUCUCGGGCUGGACUUUAUGUCUUUGCACUGGGGAGCCCUACAACUGUGGGAGCGUGGCCUUCUUGGUGUCUGUAUACUGGAGAAGCCCGGAUUGGUCUGGGGAGUAGCCUUCUCGUGCUGGACUUUACGUCUUUGCACUGGGGAGCCCUACAAAUAGUGAGAGGGUGGCCCUCAUAGGGGCCAUCCAAGGGGUAGCCCCUAUUUCAGAUGAGCUGUGGCUUUCUCGGGCUGGACUUUAUGUCUUUGCACUGGGGAGCCCUACAAAUAGUGAGAGGGUGGCCCUCAUAGGGGCCAUCCAAGGGGCAGCCCCUAUUUCAGCUGAGCUGUGGCUUUCUCGGGCUGGACUUUAUGUCUUUGCACUGGGGAGCCCUACGACUGUGGGAAGUGUCUGUAUACUGGAGAACUCCUGAUUUGUCUGGGGGCGUGUUUCUCGUGCUGGACUUCACGUCUCUGCACUGGGGAGCCCUACAAAUAGUGAGAGGGUGGCCCUCAUAGGGGCCAUCCAAGGGGCAGCCCCUAUUUCAGCUGAGGUGUGGCUUUCUCGGGCUGGACUUUAUGUCUUUGCACUGGGGAGCCCUACAAAUAGUGAGAGGGUGGCCCUCAUAGGGGCCAUCCAAGGGGCAGCCCCUAUUUCAGCUGAGGUGUGGCUUUCUCGGGCUGGACUUUAUGUCUUUGCACUGGGGAGCCCUACGACUGUGGGAAGUGUCUGUAUACUGGAGAACUCCUGAUUUGUCUGGGGGCGUGUUUCUCGUGCUGGACUUCACGUCUCUGCACUGGGGAGCCCUACAAAUAGUGAGAGGGUGGCCCUCAUAGGGGCCAUCCAAGGGGCAGCCCCUAUUUCAGCUGAGCUGUGGCUUUCUCGUGCUGGACUUUGUCUUUGCACUGGGGAGCCCUACAACUGUGGGAGCAUGGCCUUCUUAGUGUCUGUAUACUGGUGAAGCCCGGAUUUGUCUGGGGGGCGUUUUUCCCGUGCUGGACUUCACGUCUUUGCACUGUCUGUCUUAGUGGCCAUACAGUGGGUUUCGGGUAUCACUUUUUCCAAUUGGAUUUUACAUUUUUUUCUUUGUAUUUUACAUUUCAAUGUCUGGGGGAGCUUCAAUCCUGGUUAUAUGACUUUGCUCUUCUUUUUCUGAAUGGUGAUGAAGCGGUACCUCCGGCCUUGCGUGGUACGACAGUAGGGGUGCGACAUUUCUGACCUCUUCAAGCGGUGUGGUAUGCUGAGCACGCUCUGCUGGCUGAAAGCACACGAGAAUAAGAGAAAGAUUGAAGGAACAACUGCAGAACAAGGAGAAAGAACAUCAGAAAGUCCCAACAGGAGCCCUGAAGACUAACUGGAGAAGUGGGAGGAGAAGACCGGAUAACAAGAAGCAGGAGAGAAGAAACAGGCAGGCUCCCUCCUCGGAGCUGACUGCCUCCUUCACGACUGAGUAGCAAUUCUGUCACAUAGAAAUAUCCCCACAUUGCUGUGAGCCUGUUUCAACCCAAGAUGGCGACCAUCUCCAAAGGACUUCACUUUUUGGUGGCGUCUAUAUAUUGGCACAGCCCUGUGAAUCUGCUUGGCCUGUCAGCUGGUGGGGGUCUCAAAAGAGCGGCAUGCUUGAGGGGCAGUUUUUCUGGCAGUUCAGUCUUCAUGCCUGACCCUGUGUCUCGGCUGCUUCCUGCUCUGAGAAAUCCCCAAGGUACUUGGAGUGUGGUUUUCUUCAUUCCUGGCUUGAUAUCUCUGCUUCAGAUUGCUCAGAGCCUCCACUGAGAUGUCUGGAGAGCCACUGGCCUUGGGUGUGUCCAGGGUUUUAUCCUAGAUGGCUUCUCUGCCCCCCAUUAUUUCUGUGUGCUGCUUGCAAUAUUGUUUAAAUACAAACUUAAAAUAUGUUAGAAACUAAAACAAAAAUAGCUGUUGCAUAGGAUAACAUCUAAAAGGAUAGGAUCAAACCUAAAAAGAAUAAACAAGUGUAGUAUAAUAUAAGUAGGAUAACAUCUAAAAGAUUAGGAUAAAAUCUAAAAAGGUUCAACAAGUGUAGUAUAAUAUAAGACAUACAGAUCUAUUAACUUAAUUAGGAAGGCUAAUAGGAACUAAAAUGAAGCAUUUUCAACGUAGAUUAGAUAUUCUAGACCAACUAGUGUAUUAAAAUAAUAUUCAAAGCAGCAUAUGGGAAUGGUGAGAAAAAGCACUUUGCUACUGAAAGUCUGAAAGGCCAGAACCCAUCCACCACUCGCUCAUGUAGCUCUUCCGUGGCUCCGAGUCUCUUCCUGCUAGCAUCUUACAGACUAUUCCCCCUUUGAUGCAAAGAUGGGUGCUUGGGCAAUUUGAUGUAGAAAUAAAGAUCAAUAUUGUCUUUGUGUAGCUUUGCUUACUGACAGGCUUAUAGGAUGCUGAAGAGGGUAUUUCUGUCAAGCACCCAGAACUGAUUCUUAUUUCAAGUUGUUUUAACCUGUGUUUUUUUGUAAAUGGCCCAGAGCCAUGAGGUUUGGGUGGUCAUAAGCAAAUAUGCUAAAUAAAAAGCUCUCCGUAUUGUC